GAUGAACGCUGGCGGCGUGCCUAAUACAUGCAAGUCGAGCGAACAGACGAGGAGCUUGCUCCUCUGACGUUAGCGGCGGACGGGUGAGUAACACGUGGAUAACCUACCUAUAAGACUGGGAUAACUUCGGGAAACCGGAGCUAAUACCGGAUAAUAUAUUGAACCGCAUGGUUCAAUAGUGAAAGACGGCUUUGCUGUCACUUAUAGAUGGAUCCGCGCCGCAUUAGCUAGUUGGUAAGGUAACGGCUUACCAAGGCGACGAUGCGUAGCCGACGUGAGAGGGUGGUCGGCCACACUGGAACUGAGACACGGUCCAGACUCCUACGGGAGGCAGCAGUAGGGAAUCUUCCGCAAUGGGCGAAAGCCUGACGGAGCAACGCCGCGUGAGUGAUGAAGGUCUUCGGAUCGUAAAACUCUGUUAUUAGGGAAGAACAAAUGUGUAAGUAGCUAUGCACGUCUUGACGGUACCUAAUCAGAAAGCCACGGCUAACUACGUG
rnacentral:rRNA from 1 species